rnacentral:rRNA from 1 species
GGUUGCGAUCAUACCAGCAAUAAUGCACCGGAUCCCAUCAGAACUCCGCAGUUAAGCGUGCUUGGGCGAGAGUAGUACUAGGAUGGGUGACCCCCUGGGAAGUCCUCGUGUUGCAACCC